AAUCAACGCUGGCGGCGUGCCUCAGACAUGCAAGUCGAACGAUUAAACUUCCCUUCGGGGAAGAUAUAAAGUGGCGCACGGGUGAGUAACACGUAAGUAAUCUACCUUCGAGUGGGGAAUAACGUUCGGAAACGGACGCUAAUACCGCAUAAUGCAGCGGCAUCGCAAGAUGACAGUUGUUAAAGAUUUAUCGCUUGAAGAGGAGCUUGCGGCAGAUUAGCUAGNGGUAAGGUAAUGGCUUACCAAGGCUACGAUC
rnacentral:rRNA from 1 species